CCUACGGGAGGCAGCAGUGGGGAAUAUUGGACAAUGGGCGAAAGCCUGAUCCAGCCAUGCCGCGUGUGUGAAGAAGGCCUUCGGGUUGUAAAGCACUUUCAGUGGGGAAGAAAGCCUUGGGGCUAAUACCCUCGAGGAAGGACAUCACCCACAGAAGAAGCACCGGCUAACUCCGUGCCAGCAGCCGCGGUAAUACGGAGGGUGCGAGCGUUAAUCGGAAUUACUGGGCGUAAAGCGCGCGUAGGCGGUCUGAUAAGCCGGUUGGGAAAGCCCCGGGCUCAACCUGGGAACGGCAUCCGGAACUGUCAGGCUAGAGUGCAGGAGAGGAAGGUAGAAUUCCCGGUGUAGCGGUGAAAUGCGUAGAGAUCGGGAGGAAUACCAGUGGCGAAGGCGGCCUUCUGGACUGACACUGACGCUGAGGUGCGAAAGCGUGGGUAGCAAACAGGAUUAGAUACCCGAGUAGUC
rnacentral:rRNA from 1 species